GGAAAUUUGAAAGCUAUGGAAAAAAUGGCUGACGCUUUGCUAUUUGGAAGUUUCGGCAUGCAAAACAUAACAGCAGCUAUCCAGUUAUACGAGUCCUUGGCUAAAGAAGGAUCAUACAAAGCCCAAAAUGCAUUGGGAUUUUUAUCUUCUUAUGGAAUAGGAAUGGAAUAUGACCAAGCCAAGGCACUGAUAUAUUAUACCUUUGGAAGUGCUGGAGGGAGCAUGAUGUCCCAGAUGAUUCUGGGGUACAGAUACUUGUCAGGAAUUAAUGUUCUGCAAAAUUGUGAAGUUGCUCUAAAUCAUUACAAGAAAGUGGCAGAUUAUAUUGCUGACAAAUUGGAAAAAAGUGAAGGUAUUCCCGUGGAAAAAGUGAGGCUAACCGAGAGACCUGAGAAUCUGAGUUCCAACAGUGAGAUUUUGGAUUGGGACAUAUACCAAUACUAUAAGUUUUUGGCAGAAAGAGGAGAUGUUCAGAUACAAGUAUCUCUUGGACAAUUGCAUCUAAUUGGGAGAAAAGGUCUAGAUCAAGAUUACAGUGGCAAUGCAAUUGGUCUUCAUGGACUCGGUCUCCUUUACUUCCAUGGAAAAGGUGUUCCUGUGAAUUAUGGCGAAGCACUUAAAUACUUCCAGAAAGCUGCAGAGAAGGGAUGGCCAAACGCACAGUUCCACCUAGGCUUCAUGUACUACUCUGGCUCUGGAGUAUGGAAGGAUUAUAAGCUUGCCUUCAAAUAUUUUUACUUGGCAUCUCAGAGUGGGCAGCCUCUCGCCAUUUAUUAUCUAGCCGAGAUGUAC
rnacentral:lncRNA from 1 species